UACGUAGGGACCAAGCGUUGUUCGGAUUUACUGGGCGUAAAGGGCGCGUAGGCGGCGUGGUAAGUCACUUGUGAAAUCUCUGAGCUUAACUCAGAACGGCCAAGUGAUACUGCUGUGCUAGAGUGCAGAAGGGGCAAUCGGAAUUCUUGGUGUAGCGGUGAAAUGCGCAGAUAUCAGGAGGAACACCGGUGGCGAAGGCGGUCUGCUGGGGUAAUGCUGACACUGAUGCGCGACAGCGUGGGGGAGCAAACAGG
rnacentral:rRNA from 1 species